UACAGAGGUCCCGAGCGUUGUUCGGAUUCACUGGGCGUAAAGGGUGCGUAGGUGGCGAGGUAAGUCGGAUGUGAAAGCUCGGAGCUCAACUCCGAAAUGGCAUUGGAAACUACCUUGCUCGAGGGUUGGAGGGGGGACUGGAAUACUUGGUGUAGCAGUGAAAUGCGUAGAUAUCAAGUGGAACACCAGUGGCGAAGGCGAGUCCCUGGACAAUUCCUGACACUGAGGCACGAAAGCUAGGGGAGCAAACAGG
rnacentral:rRNA from 1 species